rnacentral:tRNA from 2 species
GGAGAGGUGGCAGAGUGGUCGAAUGUACCUGACUCGAAAUCAGGCGUUGGUGAAAGCCAACCGUGGGUUCGAAUCCCACCCUCUCCGCCA